CUAGCUCAAAUCUUAGAUAUCAAUUGAUUAGCUGAAAUCGAUUACAUAGACUGACUCACAAAUCAAAGAAUUAUUCUUAAUUUUAAAAAAUCAAGCAAUAUUCUCUACCAGGUUAUUAUGAUGUUAACAAUCCAUCCAACCCAUAGUCAAUGAGCUAUACUUGAUGAGUGGAUGGACAAUGUCAACAAAUAUAGGUGCU
rnacentral:lncRNA from 1 species